ensembl:snoRNA Z30 small nucleolar RNA
CUGCAGUGAUGAUCCGUGUUUCGGACCUGGCAUGGCUCCUUGCCCCCUUGCGGGGUGGCGCUCUGGCCAGGGAAUGACAUGAAUCUAUCUUCUCUCUGAGCAG